AUCAAGUGUAUACUUGUCAGAAAAAUUACCACGAUUAAACAUAUCAGUUUCACAGAUGAAAGGGAUAUUUUCUUAUAGUCCUAAUCACAAUCACGAUUGUGAAAUUGUCAAAUUAGACGUAUCACUGAAUUGUUUGCGUAAAUUAACAAUAACACGGAAGCCACAGCUGGAGCAGGUUUUGUUUACCUACCGGAGCACAUAAAAUCUACCCUGGCUCUUGGAAGCGACAGCUGGAGCAGGUUUUAUUUACCUACCGGAGCACAUAAAAUCUACCCUGGCUCUUGGAAGCCACAGCUGGAGCAGGUUUUGUUAACCUACCGGAACACAUAAAAUCUUCCAUGGCUCUUGGAAGCCACAGCUGGAGCAGGUUUUGUUUACCUACCGGAGCACAUAAAAUCUUCCUUGUCUUUUGGAAGCCACAGCUCGAGCAGGUUUUGUUUACCUACCGGAGCACAUAAAAUCUUCCCUGGCUGUUGGAAGCCACAGCUGGAGCAGGUUUUGUUUACCUACCGGAGCACAUAAAAUCUUCCCUGGCUCUUGGGAGCCACAGCUGGAGCAGGUUUUAUUUACCUACCGGAGCACAUAAAAUCUUCCAUGGCUUUUUGAAGCCACAGCUGGAGCAGGUUUGUUUACCUACCGGAGCACAUAAAAUCUUCCCUUGCUCUUGGAAGACACAGCUGGUGCAGGUUUUGUUUACCUACCGGAGCACAUAAAAUCUUCCCUGGCUCUUAGAAGCCACAGCUGGAGCAGGUUUUGUUUACCUACCGUAGCAAAUAAAAUCUUCCCUGGCUCUUGAAAGUCACAGCUGGAGCAGGUUUUGUUUACCUACCGGAGCACAUAAAAUCUUCCCUGGCUCUUGGAAGCCACAACUGGAGCAGGUUUUGUUUACCUACCGGAGCACAUAAAAUCUUCCAUGGCUCUUGGAAGUCACAGCUGUAGCAGGUUUUGUUUACCUACCGGAGCACAUAAAAUCUUCUCUGGCUCUUGGAAGCCACAGCUGGAGCAGGUUUUGUUAACCUACCGGAGCACAUAAAAUCUUCACUGGCUCUUGGAAGCUACAGCUCGAGCAGGUUUUGUUUACCUACCGGAGCACAUAAAAUCUUCCCUGGCUCAUGGAAG
rnacentral:lncRNA from 1 species